AGUUCAUAUUAGCCAUUUGAUUUGAUGUUGGGAUUAAAUUUUCCUCAAUAUUUUGGGAAUCCAACUUUUGUAUAUCCUGAGACCUAUAUUCUUUGACCAUAUUAGAGCAGGUAGCAUCAGUUUUACCAAAUUCCCCACCAUUAACUGCUGUCGCCUUUACUCCAGUAUCAAUACAACCUGCGCAUGAAGAAUCCAUUUCUGGCGGUGAACUACGUU
rnacentral:misc_RNA from 1 species